AUUGAACGCUGGCGGCAUGCCUUACACAUGCAAGUCGAACGGCAGCACGGGUGCUUGCCCCUGGUGGCGAGUGGCGAACGGGUGAGUAAUACAUCGGAACAUGUCCUGUAGUGGGGGAUAGCCCGGCGAAAGCCGGAUUAAUACCGCAUACGAUCUACGGAUGAAAGCGGGGGCCCUUCGGGCCUCGCGCUUUAGGGUUGGCCGAUGGCUGAUUAGCUAGUUGGUGGGGUAAAGGCCUACCAAGGCGACGAUCAGUAGCUGGUCUGAGAGGACGACCAGCCACACUGGGACUGAGACACGGCCCAGACUCCUACGGGAGGCAGCAGUGGGGAAUUUUGGACAAUGGGCGAAAGCCUGAUCCAGCAAUGCCGCGUGUGUGAAGAAGGCCUUCGGGUUGUAAAGCACUUUUGUCCGGAAAGAAAUCCUUGGCCCUAAUACGGUCGGGGGAUGACGGUACCGGAAGAAUAAGCACCGGCUAACUACGUG
rnacentral:rRNA from 1 species